rnacentral:piRNA from 1 species
CACACUCAUGAGGCUGGGCUGGC